AGCAGCCGCGGUAAUUCCAGCUCCAAUAGCGUAUAUUAAAGUUGUUGCAGUUAAAAAGCUCGUAGUUGAAUUUCGGGGUUCUACCGUUGGUCGGGCUUUGUCUGUACUGGCGUGUAGAAUUUCUACCUUCUGGGGAACCAUCAUGUUAUUAAUUUAACGUGGUGGGAAACCAGGACCUUUACCUUGAAAAAAUUAGAGUGUUCAAAGCAGGCUUAUGUCUGAAUACAUUAGCAUGGAAUAAUAAAAUAGGACGGUGGUCCUGUUUUGUUGGUUUCUGAAUCACCGUAAUGAUUAAUAGGGAUAGUUGGGGGCAUUAGUAUUCAAUAGUCAGAGGUGAAAUUCUUGGAUUUAU
rnacentral:rRNA from 1 species